CCGUGGCGUCAGUUCGUGGUUUACCAUCGAACGCGCAUGAAGCCGUUCGUCGUUUUUGGUUUCUUAUUUUUUCGGUGAACAAAAAUGGUGGAGUCUUGUGGCGUUGCGUUCGGAUCGUUACAGUAACGGUGAUUGCUUGUCUGCCAAGCGCGCACACUUCGCACCCAGCCGACCAGUGGAAAACGACAAUCGACGAAACAGAGAACGUCAGCAAUUUGGUCCUGUGCAGAAAGAUAAAUUUCAUCUAGCAGCCGGAGAGUGCUUGGUGAAGAAGCAGCAGUGGAACAGAGCAAAAAAAUCCAUCCAUUCACAGUUGGUGUCAAUUUGGUGUUCGCUGGUGGUUGGUUUGGGAGCGCUUGAAGAAGGUUCUGUUGUGGUGUAAAAGAAUUUUCCUUCGAAUCGGUGGUGGCGUAAGCGAAAGGGAAAACCGAAAGAAUAACCCCGUGCGAGACAAAAAUUGCAUUUCACGGUGCAUCAUUUUUACCCCUGGUGCGACAAUAAUAAAAGGAAAUCUCCGUUGGUUGGUGGUGGCCGUGCUUCGUGGUCGUGUGCGUAAUCCGAUACCAUCAACGUUUUGCUGUAUAAUUUGCUUCCUUUUUUUUGCAAUCGGAAAAGCAAUCGUGUGCCAUAUCUUGAGCUUUAGUGCAAGUGAGAGAGAGAGGGAGAGAGAGGGAGAGCGAGUGAGUGAGUGCAGUUUUUUUGGAAAGGAAUACUAAAGCAAUAAUUCCCUACGGUGUGUUUCGGUUGACAGCUCCGGUAGAAGCAAACGUAACAAAAACCUCAAUCGAAGCUAGAAAGAAGCGUGAAAAAAGGCAUCUCUCGGUUGUGGCAGUGACACGAACUACGUUGCUGCUGCUGCAUCAUCACACAACCCCUGUCCAAUAGACGGACAUAUUUGGCACGAUUCGGACAACAAUACACGGAAUGCAAGGCACGACGGCACAACAGCAACCGCCAGCACGGCAACAGCAACCCUGCCCGCAAGGCAAACAGCAACCUUCCAGAGUGAGCAAUCAGUGCGUCUGAAGCAAGACCAGACCCGAGAAUACAAGCAAAGCAAAGUGCAAACUGUACUGUUGGUGUACGAUUGUGAAGAAGUAUUUAUUGUCAAAUUCAGUGCCUCUCAACCAAUACAAACAAAAAAGCAAGCAAGCAAGCAGCAAGAAAUCCGUUCAAUUUUCACCACAGCUCAGCCGCAUCGAGUGGCUUGACUGUGUGCAUCUAGUCUAGUCUUUUGAAGUGCAUAGUGCAGCAGACGCAGAAGAGAACGUUGCCGACUUGCCGAACGACGACCGGUGGAAGACGUCCAGAAGAGACAUCGUAUACGUCCCAGAAGACUUGCCCGGGUGCAAUCAGCAUUGCUUAAUCCAGCAUUGCAAUCACAUGCAGACAGAGCGGCAGGAAGGAACACACACCCACACACACAUACGCGCAGAACCAUUACUUCCGUUUGACUGAAAGCUUUAACACAUCACGAGCUACGGGCUGCGUUCGAAUCUGAACUGAUAGAGUUCGAAUACCUGCAUACGAGAGAAUCAUAAAUCUACCGCAAAGGAAGGAGCUGAACCAUAAAAAACCGGCCUACAGAGAAACAGAGGAAUAUAUUUUCAUUCACACUGAGGAGUGUUUGGUGCAGCGAAAGGAGGACGUGAAACGGAAUCCCAGAGCAGCGGCAGAGUGUACUAUUCCUGUCAUACCUCAUACCUUGUUCAAACGGCUGUACGACUGGCAACAAAGAGAUAAAAUAGCUAUUUUUUCAUCGACAAUACAUCCGACAAGUAGUUCCUAUGCGACGCGAAGCGAAACCUUCUACUUUCCGCUCCUAAUGAGAAGCUCUAAACGUUCAAAUUAAACAUCAAGCUGCACAACAUCAUUUCCCGAAAAACGCCCCCACAACCUUUCAGCGGGUCAGAUCGCAUCUGUCAAAGUCAAGCAGCACGUUUUGCAGAAAGCAUCAAUAGCUGCAGGCAGGAGGAGGCCACGCGGACUACGGCAACUGUCGCCAGAGGUUAGCAAUUCCGUCCGUCCGGGGUACGGUCUUGAUUGGUCGUCGGCGUCGGAAGCGUUUGGAUGCGUAUGGUACGACCGGUAUAAUGUACGUUGGUUGCCUCCCCUACAACGUACCCGCCAAAUAAACUCACAGCGAGAGCGGUGAGUUCCGCCAUUCGAUCGUCGCACACCGCUUGUUGCCAUCGCACAGAGUUAUCGCGCGCGCAUGGUGUUAAUUUUAGAAGCUUCCCGCGGCGCAACCUGAGGGACGAAUUUAUCCGCACCAGAGGCAGCACGGUGUGCUAACUGGGACGGCCAAUUCCCCGUUCGCUCUACUCACUCGACAAAAGACACGGUACGAAAAUCACGCCGCUGGCAGAUGGGCAGAUUCGUGUUCGGGCAAAAAGGUGGCGAAGGACAGCAAGCACCUAGAGCACCGAAAUAAACGUGCAAAAAAAAAAGUCGGACGAGCGAAGAAUUCGCGCCAAUUGUUGAAACUUAAGCCCCAAAAAAGGGGAAAAGAUAUUGUUUAUAAUUUUACGACACAGAGCAAGAGAGAAGGAACCAAUAUUGAACUACAGAUCUAUUUUAGGCCACACAAGCACUGUUGGUUAAAUGAGCCCCAGUCGGUGUCAUUAUUGUUAUCACUGUUGUUGUUGCGGUAGCGGAAGUCGGAAUAGCACGAGCACCGGCAGCGGACGGAUCGGAGGUAGAGGUCCGCUGGGUUGGAUGCAGCUUUGGCAGCGCAAGCUAGCAAUCGCAGGCAGCAGGGAAAAGUUUGCCGACUAACCGUGUGCGGUUCCAGGCACAAGCAACAAGCGCAAGUGGAAGAAAAAGGGUCAAUUGGUCGGAAAAGCGAAGUAACGGGGCAACGGUAUAGUACAAGUGAUGGAGCAUUCGGCAAAGUUGUUGGCCGGUGGUAGUGCGGGUGACAGCAGCACCACGAAGGAGCCGCCGGUAGCAGUUCCUGCUGGUGGUGGUGGUGGUGGUGGUGCGUGUCAUUCGAGCCAGCAGCUUCGACCGGCAGCAGCAACAGCAGCGGGGAAUGCAAGUGAUGCGGAAGUCUGUGAUAGAAGUAACGUGGUUACUAUGGAUGAAGUUGGGGAGACCUUACCGCUUGCCGGACGUUCGUUGGAUGCAGAGCUGGCGGAGGACAACUGCACCGAUACGGAUGAUCAGAAUAGUAAUUAUCUAAGCAUUAGUAACAGUCGUAGCAGCAGCUGCUUCGACCUGCCCGGCGAGUGUUCACCGAUGAUAGGCACGGCGCGACUGCAGCCGUCAAAAGCAGACGAAAGCCGGAUGACACUCGUAAACGAAAGGUACCCACUGCAGUCGGGACAGACCGGUGGUGUACCUGUACCAGCUCGGGGACAGCUCGAAGAGUUGCCGAGAAUGGUGGAGAUGGCGGGCGGAAGUAGUAAACUUUCUGGGUCAAAGCAACGGCUCGAUUAUGACGACGAUGAAGAUGCUGAAGAGGAUGAUGAUGAGGAUUCGUCCAUGUUGACACAUUCGGCCGCAACGACGGCAACCGUUUCGUCCAACAAAUCUCGUGUGCUGGUGAGCGCGGACCAGCAGCAGCCCGGCUGCUCUACCGGAAGAGUUCCGGAUGCCAGCGUUUGCUGUAACAUCGUGGACAAUCCGGUCAGCGAUACGGCUACGGUGGACGUUGGAAGUAAUGCGACGGGUAACGUACAGGACGGGCCUCGUACACCAGCAGCAACCGGGAUGGCUAAUGGAGCUGGUGCAGCUGCCGGUGGUAGUGGUGCAAAUCCGCAUAGCCGAGUCACGACGACACCCUCAAACUUAAGUAAUUGCAGUGGCCUACCGACCGUCACUAUGGUGCAGCUGAAGCAGAGCAAAAAUCUCAUCUACUUCCUGCGAUUAAUCUUCAAUCACUGUAAGAGCUCCGGUAUAGGAGAACCGAGCGUUUAUCAUGCCUUAGUAGUCAUAUUUUUGGAAUUCUUCGCCUGGGGACUGUUAACAAUGCCCGUCAUAAAUGUCCUCAAUCAAACCUUCCCGGAUCACACCUUCCUAAUGAACGGGUUGGUAAUGGGCAUAAAGGGCAUACUAUCAUUCCUGAGCGCUCCACUGAUUGGUGCCCUUUCGGAUGUGUGGGGCCGGAAAUUCUUUCUGCUAAUUACCGUGUUCUUCACCUGCGCUCCGAUCCCUCUUAUGUCGAUCAACUCUUGGUGGUUCUUUGCAAUGAUCUCAAUCAGCGGCGUGUUUGCGGUAACGUUUUCCGUCGUGUUUGCCUAUGUAGCGGACGUUACGACGGUGGAAGAUCGGUCACGAGCCUACGGCUUGGUGUCAGCCACGUUUGCCGCUAGCUUGGUUAUUUCACCCGCGCUCGGAGCUUACUUGAACGACAAAUACUCGGAGCCGCUAAUUGUUGCCCUGGCCACCGCAAUCGCGGUGCUGGAUGUGUUCUUCAUUCUGGUGGCGGUGCCGGAAAGUUUACCGGAGAAAGUGCGACCCAGCUCCUGGGGUGCCCCAAUCAGCUGGGAGCAGGCAGAUCCGUUUGCAGCGCUCCGUAAGGUUGGUCUGGAUCAAACGAUUCUGAUGCAGUGUGUUACGGUGCUGCUCUCCUAUCUGCCAGAAGCGGGACAAUAUUCGUGCAUUUUCGUCUACCUGAAACUGAAAAUGCAUUUCAGCUCGAUCGAUGUAUCGAUCUUUAUCGCUGUCGUCGGUAUACUAAGUAUACUGGCGCAAGUCAUCCUAGGUGAUCUAAUGAAGGUACUUGGUGCAAAGCGUACAAUAAUAAUAGGAUUACUGUUCGAAAUGUUACAACUGCUUUGGUAUGGUUUUGGCAGUCAGACAUGGAUGAUGUGGGCAGCAGGUAUUCUUGCUUCAUUAGCGUCAAUUACGUAUCCGGCGAUCAGUGCAUUCGUGUCGAUACAUUCCAACCCGGACCAACAAGGGGUGGUCCAGGGUAUGGUGACAGGAAUGCGCGGUUUGUGCAACGGUCUUGGGCCAGCAAUGUUCGGCGUCAUCUUCUACGUGUUUCACGUCGAUCUGAACGACGAGCACAAUGUUGCGAGCCAUAGUCUGAACGGAGCGGGCAUCGGUGCGGUGGCCGGUGGUGGAGUUUUCGACGGUUCCGAUGCAAAGUUUGUGCGCAACGAGACGCUGCUCGGGGGCUCGGUCCACCAUCACAUCGAGGACGAGUAUUCGCAGCUCAUGCCGGGCCCUCCGUUCGUGUUCGGAGCGCUGAUGGUUAUAUGCGCCAUCGCAGUGGCAGCCUUCAUUCCGGAGACGCCAAGCGAUACCAUCCGGCGGCCAUCGGGUGAGAAGAAAAAGAGCGGCUAUCGGAGCCAAGACAGAUUGACCGUGCUUAUUGGAGACUGAUUAGUACGGUUGAUGAUAAGUGUGACAAAACAGCCCGGGCGAUGCAACAAAAUCCGAAGCAAACCAUUGCCCAACGCAUGGGGUCAGAGACAAGACAAGAAAUGGAUAGAAAAGGCUCUCGUUGGACGUCGAUUAUGAGUACGAGCGUGGCCGAAAGGUAGCGGGCCCACUAUCACCACUGAUGCACCAGGACUCUGCUCAGCUAUAGUUGUGUUAAAUUGUAAUCCCUAGCGCACACACUCGAGCCGGCUCGGCUCGCUGGUGGUGUAGUGCGCUCGAUAGCAUCCUAAUUAUCGUCAUCAUUAGUUUUUACAAUGUAGCGUAAGCAAAAAGCAGCAGCAGCAGCAGCAACACUUUGGUGACACAAUGAGAACGAAGAAGCGUUCUCAGCAGGGGCAACAGCGUGUGUCAAGAGGUUCAUAUAAGGCGUUAGGCGAGCUUUUUUUUCUAUGAGGUUGAGGUGAAGUGUAAAAUGUAUUACUCCUCGUUCUUAUUUGGUUUUGUCAUCAAUUUUGGCGUUUUACUGGUAACUUGCUUAUGGUUACCUGGUUGUGCAGGACGGUGACACCAUUAUUGCCUCCUUCAAAAACUUUAUUCUGUUUGCCAUCGUGGAUGGUUAGUACCGUUGGUUUGUCCUUUUUUACGAUUUGUUUUACUGUCGAAUGGUGUGAAAAGAAAAUUGUGUUUGUUCAAGUGCACGGUUACUAGGUUUUUGAUUUUAAAUUUGCUUCUCAUUGUCGUUAUCAGCCUCAUCAUUUGCAUCGUUUGGUUUUUUGUUUUUACUACAGCAUACAUGUUUGUUGGGGUUGAAUAGCUUUAAAACAAUAAAACUGUGUUUCUUUCUGGUUCGGAGCUCUGGGAAAAGGUUAUAGGAAGAAGAAAACAAAAAUCCCCACACAGUUGUGGCACAACGAACGAAGGUACCCCGCUAGUAGGAUCGCCGUUUAAGCUCUUUUUAGAAUUUUGCAAAGUUUGUCCAAAGUUGUUUUUGCUCUAGUCUAGUCAAUUGACGGACACACUUAACCGUGAAGAAAUAAAAGAAAAGAACACACUCACACAACACCGCCAGCAGCUCGCGCUCGUGCUGGUAGUACACGAAACGGGUUCGCGAUUUCCACUGCUCGCGCUAACUAAUCCUGCGCUGUUUGCACCAGCGCGGGAACGUUUUUGGUGUUGAAAGGGGGAAAGCGUGCAUUACGAAGGACGAUAAUGUGUAGGAAAAAAAUUAGGACUGAAUGAUAGAACGAGAAGGGAAAACGGGCGAGGAAGAGAGGGAACGAGCGAACGAGUAUUUUGGUCCGUGGUUCGCUUAUACGUGUACGGCAAAAGCAAACCAAGAGUGAUAGUAGGAUUAGAUUAUCGAUUAGCCAGACGCAGGAAGGAUGAUGAUAAAGCGCAGCUAAAGUGUGUGCGUGAGAGUGUGUGUGUGUGUGUGUGUGGUGGUGUAUGUAUGUAUGUGGAAAGGCAGUAAAUCAGAACGUUUACAGUGUCACACAGAACCCUAAAACCCCGUCGUACCGAAAACAACAAAGGCACUACCAUUAGGUUUACUUUUUUCGCCUGCUGGGAAAAUCGAGGCAGAUAUGUGUAAAGUGUAGCUGUGUAAAUUAUGUUAAAGUAGGAUGUUUUUUGCAAUCAUUUAGAGGGGCAUCGUUUGACUUGGAAUUCGAUUUUACUACACCGCCCCGGAACAGAUAUGCGCGAUUCAGAUGAAAUAGAGGAUUUAUAAAUUUGUUGAUACCGUAAAGCAUGAAAUGAAGCAAUUAACAGGGCCUCCUCAAUCCUUCCCGGGAGCAUUUUUACCGCUGUUGUGAGCAGUAGUAGAAAAGGAUGACAAAGAAAGAUUUCCUUUAAGAUAUCGCCUGCGUACAUAAGCAUCAUAUCCAGCAAGCGUUUGAGCGUCGCCAUCCGGUGGGUUUGGUUGGUUGGCCCUAUUGUUUUUUUUUUACUAGGCUCUUCUACAUGGGACUUGGGAAACGAUCGUUUACCGAAUCGAAUCGUUUUCCGUGCAACCACACCGAUAAGGAUAAUGCCAUAACACGUACUCUACAGUUGACAUACCAGCACGAAAUCCCUAGUGUAAUAUAACGACAGCAACAAAAUGAAACAUGUCAGGAGUAGAAAAAGGGAAGAAGAAGACACAUGUUACAUAGCAGUACCAGCAUUACAGCAACAAAUCAAGAGGUAAAUAAAAUAGUGCGGAUAGCCAUGUAAAUGCCACUCGCGUCGUCGUGUGGCCGUGCCGUCGAACACCGCGGCUGCAUCUACUACGGGGGAGGGCGCGGAUACACAACACUGUUAGUCCAAAGAUUAUGAAUUAACUUGAACCUACUACUAGCGCCUAGUGAGUUGAGUAUUACGCAUCAGCGCGCGUUUUAUGAGAGAAAACAAAUGGUGAGGAACACGCGUAAUGUCGUGUCGUGUGCGUAGAGGAUAAACUUAACAGAAAAACAACAGAAACAAGCAAACAAUAAAAUACAAUUAAAAGUAAUGGAAUCCCCGCAACAUCAUACAGCAAAACAACACGUGGAAGGGAGAAAAAGACCGGGACGCGUAGGGGAAAUUAGUUCCAAUUGCGUUUUGUUUCGGAUGUCCCUUCGGCUCGAAUUUCUCUGCAACGAUGCAACGAAAUGGCCCAUUCAAC